AAUCACAAUCACAUUAGUGCAUAUAAAACCCUAGCUACAUAGAGUAAAGAAAAAUAGACAAAAGAUUUGCUGAUUUGAUUUGGGUGAAGUGGAAAGUUACAGCCAUAGAUAAAAUCCAUGAGCAUUUAAAUAUUUAAAUGCCCUAUCUAGCUUUUAUCACUGAACUGCUUUUUUCAUUUAAAUAUUGUGAAAACCUGAGAGCAACAAUAUUAUUAUUUUGUGAAUAUAUGUUUAUAUAUGGACUGUAAGGUGAUGGGAUGUGUAGCUGGGUGUUGUGUGUGAGUGUAAAUGUUAUUGUAUGGAGACUGUGUUUUAUGAAAUCAGUGAAAUUAUGUGUUCCUUAUGUUGAUAGUUAUAUAAGUGAUUGUAUUCAAUGGUCAAUACUGAUAAUGAGUUUAAUACCUACUGAUAAUAAACCACUGCACAUUCAUUUCAUCAUGACAUUAAAAGACAAUUUUCACAGGCCAUAUUUCAAGUUUUUAUGCAAAAUGUUUACAUAGCUACGGUUUAUAGAUUUAUUUGUGAUAGAUGUUACAGUAUUUUUUAGGAGAAAAAGGAAAAUUUUAAUACCUAGAGUACAUUCAACUUUUGGGUUUUUUUUUGGUAAUGUUUAGUACAUUUUAAAACUAAAAAUGAAAUGAUGAUCAUGUGUAAUUAUUGUAGUAAGUUAUUGCAUAAUUUUCAUGUGAGAGUGUUUUUGACUCUGUUGUAAAUUGUGCUUUGAAUGAACAUAUUUAAUGUCCUGUUUCAUUGUGUGUUUGAAUGGUAUUUGCUGGUAGACACUGAUGAGAAUACAUGUACAUGUUUAAAUAAAUGGGAAUAAAACUGAUACAUAACUAUC
rnacentral:misc_RNA from 1 species